rnacentral:rRNA from 1 species
UGGGGAAUCUUGCGCAAUGGGCGAAAGCCUGACGCAGCAACGCCGCGUGGGGGAUGAAGGCCUUCGGGUUGUAAACCCCUUUCAGCAGGGACGAAUCUGACGGUACCUGCAGAAGAAGCCCCGGCCAACUACGUGCCAGCAGCCGCGGUAAUACGUAGGGGGCGAGCGUUGUCCGGAUUUAUUGGGCGUAAAGAGCUCGUAGGCGGCUUGGCAAGUCGGGUGUGAAAACCCUCCCGAUAGGCCUUAAGCCUGGACGCACGCCAUCUCGAUACUGCCAUGGCUAGAGUCCGGUAGGGGACCACGGAAUUCCUGGUGUAGCGGUGAAAUGCGCAGAUAUCAGGAGGAACACCGGUGGCGAAGGCGGUGGUCUGGGCCGGCACUGACGCUGAGGAGCGAAAGCGUGGGUAGCAAACA